AGGAUGAACGCUAGCGGCAGGCUUAACACAUGCAAGUCGAGGGGUAUAAGUCUUCGGAUUUAGAGACCGGCGCACGGGUGCGUAACGCGUAUGCAAUCUACCUUUUACAGAGGGAUAGCCCAGAGAAAUUUGGAUUAAUACCUCAUAGUAUAAUUGAAUCGCAUGGUUUAAUUAUUAAAGUUACAACGGUAAAAGAUGAGCAUGCGUCCCAUUAGUUAGUUGGUAAGGUAACGGCUUACCAAGACGAUGAU
rnacentral:rRNA from 1 species